rnacentral:rRNA from 1 species
UACGAAGGGGGCUAGCGUUGUUCGGAAUCACUGGGCGUAAAGCGCACGUAGGCGGACUUUCAAGUCAGGGGUGAAAUCCCGGGGCUCAACCUCGGAAUUGCCUUUGACACUGUAGGUCUCGAGUCCGGAAGAGGUGGGUGGAAUUCCUAGUGUAGAGGUGAAAUUCGUAGAUAUUAGGAAGAACACCGGUGGCGAAGGCGGCCCACUGGUCCGGUACUGACGCUGAGGUGCGAAAGCGUGGGGAGCAAACAGG